rnacentral:rRNA from 1 species
UAACCUGCCCAAGAGAUCGGGAUAACACCUGGAAACAGAUGCUAAUACCGGAUAACAACAGAUGAUGCCUAUCAACUGUUUAAAAGAUGGUUCUGCUAUCACUCUUGGAUGGACCUGCGGUGCAUUAGCUAGUUGGUAGGGUAACGGCCUACCAAGGCGAUGAUGCAUAGCCGAGUUGAGAGACUGAUCGGCUACAUUGGGACUGAGACACGGCCCAAACUCCUACGGGAGGCAGCAGGC